rnacentral:rRNA from 1 species
AUUGAACGCUGGCGGCAUGCCUUACACAUGCAAGUCGAACGGCAGCACGGGGCAACCUGGUGGCGAGUGGCGAACGGGUGAGUAAUGCAUCGGAACGUACCUUUCAGUGGGGGAUAACGUAGCGAAAGUUACGCUAAUACCGCAUAUUCUGUGAGCAGGAAAGCAGGGGAUCGCAAGACCUUGCGCUGAUUGAGCGGCCGAUGUCAGAUUAGCUAGUUGGUGAGGUAAAGGCUCACCAAGGCGACGAUCUGUAGCGGGUCUGAGAGGAUGAUCCUCCACCCUGGAACUGGGACACGGUCCCGACUCCUACGGGAGGCAGCAGUGGGGAAUUUUGGACAAUGGGGGCAACCCUGAUCCAGCCAUGCCGCGUGAGUGAAGAAGGCCUUCGGGUUGUAAAGCUCUUUCGGCCGGGAAGAAAUCGCACGGGCUAAUACCCUGUGUGGAUGACGGUACCGGAAUAAGAAGCACCGGCUAACUACGUGCCAGCCGCCGCCGUAACAC